AUGAAACUCCUUAGAGAUUUGACAGUUGCUUUCACAGAUCUUCAAAAUAACACGUACAAAUCGAAGAGGUCUCGGAUCUUGAUGAAGAUUCAAGAGUAUACUCAACGAAUUCAAGAAUACAAUGAUGAUGCCAUGGAUUUUCCGGUGAUCUCAGAGCGAAAUAAUGUUGCAGAUGGCUUCUCCUUGAUGAUAGGGUGA